CGUGAAACUUUGAAACUGAAUAUUCUAACGGAAGUCUGGAAAACGACAGACAUAUAAGUAUUAUGUAAAUAUUAGUUUCUAGA